AAAAAAUAAAAAAUGCACUGUGUUUCACACGGACUUAAAAGAGGGACGGACAACAAGGAAGAGAGAGCAGAGAAGAAAGCAAGCCAAAGAGGACGGAAGUUUGGGGGAUCAGAGAUCCUGGACACUUUGUGCAGAGGAGGACAAAUCUGUGAGACGAGCAGAGAGGCAGCCGGUUUUUACCUGCUUCUGGACCAAUUUGCACAUGUCCUGUCAUUCACCAAAUAAAUGGAGGAUAAAAGAA